rnacentral:lncRNA from 1 species
GGUCCAAACCUUCUAAGGAGUCGUGUUUGUCUCCGAUUCUGAAGUUGUGCUGCUCCUCGCAUAUCUUCAUCGGGCUCAGAUACGCAACCCUUUUACUGGCAGACCUAUCCAGAUCUGAACCGUACCGCAUCUCUUGUUGUUCAAAAUUCAUUCUGCAAUGAGCACUUGUAUGUUAGAUGUUGAAAAUUGAUGCAACUCAUGAAU